GACCCUCCCAGCUUCAAGCCUUGUACCUUUGAUGGAGAUUAUUACCCUGGUAACAGGAACAACAGAUGGGAACACACAUUGAUGCCUCAGUUACUGCAGUUCUGGGUGCACCAGCUCAAGCUCCUGCUGAACGUGGAUGUGCACCAAGCCACAGGACUGUGAGCUGGGGCUGCCUUCACACCCCACAGCCUUCUGUGCUCUGGGAGGUGAUGUCCAGCAGGAAGAUGAAGCAGGUAUGAAGAAAAGUUUAGUUGUAUGGAGAAAAUGCUUCUCACUUUGAAGAUCUCAUUUGAAAGGCUGAUAAAGAAAUGCCCUGAAAUUAAAGAUAUUCUCAGGUUCAGAGAACAAAGGGGGGAAGCACACAGACCCAAGAAAGAAAGCUCCUCUUGUGCGUGAGAGAGUAAAGGACACUUUGACUCACUUGAGAUCUCUCGAAAUGCUAAAAAAAGAAAGGGAAGAAAAAAGUACAAGAAAAGACACUCAUGGAACUGCUGAGAAUUUGAGGAUUUCAAACUUCUUGAAGAAUUCCAAAUAGUUUGGAAUGGUUGGAGCAGAAGUAAUUGCUUCUAUUGCAUAAAUAAAUUUCGGCUGACAGCCACACCUUCUCUGCACACACUCUGAAAGCUCUGUAUAUUCCCUACUGCUCCAAAUCCAGCCAGCAUGGGGCAUGGACAGUGAAAAGUUUGAGCCUAUGAUAGUCUGUGUACAAGUGCUCUUCUGCAUUUCCCAGUUAACACUGUGGCUUGUGUCUGUCUUGCAAAGCUGCUGUCAGCCACUCAAAGUGGCCCAUUCUUCCAGUAAAGAUUUUAGUUGCCCAGAAGAUGUCUUUUGUUGUCAACUGUGGCGUAUUGCAACUCUGAAGAAUUCCAGUAUCUUUGUGCAAGACUGUAUUGGCAAUUACAAUUUGUGUAAGACAUUGAAUCAUCCUGUCCAAACCAUCUUUGGGCAUGUACAGACUUGGCUGUUCACUGAACUUUGCUCAGCCACCUAUUUCCACCAGUUCCUUCCUCAGGUCAUGGCUUUGGUCAAGCAAGACUCCAGGCUCACUUCUGUGCUUCUAGUUUUUCCUAGAAAUGCCUGUACCCACACUGGAUUAGUUUGUUGUCAGCAUUCUCUGAUUUGUUGUUAGUGCCUUGUUAAGUGAGACACCAGCAGUUUUGGGGCCAGUUUGCUGAUGGAGUACAAAAAUUAACACAUUAAUAUGAAGCAGCUCUAUGCCAGGACUGGGAUGGUCCCCACACUUCAAGUUAAUGUAGUUGGUUUGUAUUUUUAUAGAAACGUACGUUGAAAGUUUUCACGAGCCUUACUUGGUUUAGUUCUUACUUGCUACAUUUUUUUUUGUGUUUUGGUUUUGGAUCACCUUAAAAUUUCUCUUUUCAUACUAAGUUCCCAGCUUGGCUAAACAUGUGAGUGUAUCAGCAUCCAUAAUAAAAUACAAAGACCUCAUUAACACACCUUUCUUUAUAAAAUAGUU